rnacentral:rRNA from 1 species
AAAACAUCGCCUCCUGCAAUACACCACACAUAGGAGGUCCAGCCUGCCCAGUGACUACAAGUUCAACGGCCGCGGUAUUCUGACCGUGCAAAGGUAGCGCAAUCACUUGUCUUUUAAAUAGAGACCUGUAUGAAUGGCCAAACGAAGGCUUAACUGUCUCCCCUCUCAAGUCAGUAAAAUUGAUCUAUCCGUGCAGAAGCGGGUAUAAUAAUACAAGACGAGAAGACCCUUUGGAGCUUAAGGUACAAAAUUUAAUCACGUCAAGCAACUCAAUAUAAAAGUAAAAACUUUGUAGAACAUAAAAAUUUACCUUCGGUUGGGGCGACCACGGAGAAAAACAAAACCUCCAAGUGGACUGGGAUAAUUUUCCUAAAACCAAGAGAGACAUCUCUAAGCCACAGAACAUCUGACCAAGAAUGAUCCGGCCACAAAAGCCGAUCAACGAACCAAGUUACCCUAGGGAUAACAGCGCAAUCCUCUCCCAGAGCCCAUAUCGACGAGGGGGUUUACGACCUCGAUGUUGGAUCAGGACACCCUAAUGGUGUAGCCGCUAUUAAGGGUUCGUUUGUUCAACGAUUAAAGUCCUACGUGA